GGCGGAUUGUCAGUGGUGCGGCCGGCAGGCAGUGAUGGCGGCCGUACGCGGCCUGCGAGUGUCUGUGAAGGCGGAGGCCCCGGCGGGGCCGGCCUUGGGGCUCCCUUCGCCUGAGGCGGAUUCCGGUUUGGAGCGCGGCGAGCCAGAGCCCAUGGAGGUGGAGGAGGGCGAGCUGGAGAUCGUGCCGGUGCGGCGCUCGCUAAAGGAACUGAUCCCGGACACAAGCAGAAGAUAUGAAAAUAAGGCUGGUAGCUUCAUCACUGGAAUUGAUGUUACCUCCAAGGAAGCCAUUGAAAAGAAAGAACAGCGAGCUAAGCGCUUUCAUUUUCGAUCAGAAGUAAAUCUUGCCCAAAGAAAUGUAGCCUUGGACCGAGACAUGAUGAAGAAAGCAAUUCCCAAAGUGAGACUAGAGACAAUCUACAUUUGUGGAGUAGAUGAGAUGAGUACCCAGGAUAUCUUUUCCUAUUUUAAAGAAUAUCCUCCAGCACACAUUGAAUGGUUGGAUGAUACCUCCUGUAAUGUGGUUUGGCUGGAUGAAAUGACAGCCACACGAGCCCUUAUCAAUAUGAGCUCUCUGCCAGCCCAGGAUAAGAUAAGAAGCAGGGAUGCCAGUGAAGACAAGUCAUCUGAGAAAAGUAAAAAAGACAAGCACGAAGACAGUUCAGAUGAUGAUGAGGCUGAAGAAGGAGAAGUUGAAGAUGAGAACUCAAGUGAUGUAGAGUUGGACACAUUGUCUCAGGUAGAAGAAGAGUCUCUGUUAAGAAAUGAUCUUCGUCCUGCUAACAAACUUGCUAAAGGAAAUAGGUUAUUCAUGAGAUUUGCUACAAAAGAUGACAAAAAGGAACUUGGAGCUGCCAGAAGAAGUCAGUAUUACAUGAAAUAUGGGAAUCCAAAUUACGGAGGCAUGAAAGGAAUUCUUAGCAAUUCUUGGAAGCGAAGAUAUCAUUCCCGUCGCAUUCAGCGGGAUGUGAUCAAGAAAAGAGCCCUGAUUGGGGAUGAUGUUGGCUUGACGUCAUAUAAACACCGACAUUCCGCAUUAGUGAAUGUUCCUGAGGAACCUAUUGAGGAGGAGGAAGAGGAAGAAGAGGAGGAGGAGGAAGACCAGGAAAUGGAUGCAGAUGACAGGGUGGUGGUAGAGUACCAUGAGGAGCUUCCAGCUCUCAAGCAGACCCGGGAGCGGAGUGUAUCCAGGCGGUCCAGUGCCAGCAGCUCAGACUCAGAUGAAAUGGACUAUGAUCUAGAACUGAAAAUGAUUUCCACUCCCUCACCAAAGAAAAGUAUGAAAAUGACUAUGUAUGCAGAUGAAGUGGAAUCUCAGCUGAAAAAUAUUAGGAACUCCAUGAGGGCAGAUAGUAUAUCCACAAGCAAUAUAAAAAACCGAAUUGGUAACAAAUUGCCACCUGAGAAAUUUGCAGAUGUCCGACACCUGUUAGAUGAAAAACGUCAGCACUCCCGUCCACGGCCACCAGUCAGCAGUACUAAAUCAGAUAUACGACAGCGGUUAGGAAAAAGACCAUAUUCUCCAGAGAAGGCUUUUAGUAGUAACCCAGUGGUUCGGAGAGAGCCCUCUUCAGAUGUACAUAGUAGGCUAGGUGUUCCCAGGCAAGAUAUUAAAGGCCUCUACUCUGAUACUCGGGAGAAGAAAUCAGGUAGCUUAUGGACUCGCUUAGGAUCUGCACCCAAGACCAAAGAAAAGAAUAUGAAAAAAGUGGAUCACAGGUCACCAGGCACUGAGGAAGAUGACUCCGAGCUACAGAGGGCAUGGGGGGCUCUGAUUAAGGAGAAAGAACAGUCUCGCCAAAAGAAGAGCCGCUGUUACCAGCACCCUUUUCCCAAGAAAAGUCAAUUCCCAGGUGCUUAUUGGACAGCCUCCGAGGGGGAAGAUGAGGGAAACUGCCAGCUCACCCUUCCAGGACCCUAAUGUGGGGGUCGAAUCUCGAGGACCUGACCUCAGAGGUACAUCAGUGCCGCCCAGAAAGAUGAGAGCAUAUAACCAAGGGAUAUUUCGGCUUCCUAGGAUUCUAGCAAAGAGGUGGUUCUGACUUCUGUGCCAGUGGAGACAAGGCCUCUGAGGUUUCCCAGCUCAGCUCUACUUGCCCUCUGAAGCACCAAACUCAGAGCAGGUUCUUAGGAGGAGGGUUCCAGGGUUUUGGGGGUUGGUAUAGUUAGAAGUGCAAGGUCCUGUGAGUCAGAUACCUGGAUGCUAACCCCUGGUUCUGCUGGGCCUUAAUUUCCCCACCUAGCAAAUGGAUGGGCUGGUAUGGAGCUUCUAGCUUUGUUGGUGCAUCUCAGUGGUGUUUUACUCUUCCCAAAACUGCCUUUGCAGUGGGCUGUCCAGUACUACUUUGUGUUGUAGGUGACCAAAGGGUCAAAGAAACAGUGGAAGUCAUGAGGUUGUGGACAGGGACUUAUCCCCUCCUAUCAUAAUCUCUGGCUCUACUGAUGUCCUUGUGGUUUCCUAACUGAUAUGGUCUCUGUAGGGUUUAGAAAAUGCCCCUUCAGAGACUUUCCUUAUUUUGUUUCCCAGCAGUUCAACCUCAUUUGCCCCCAUGGCUUUUCAGCACUCUCUAGUCUACUAAAGUUACUGACUUUCUAGGCCUCUCUUACUCUACAGCCUGCUCUUGGCCACUCAGGUCUUGCAGCAUCUUGAGUGUGCCCUGGAUGCUUAGCCUUAUCUUUGGAGCUUAGAAGUGAGGAUGGGCCAUAUGCACCUCUGUAAUCACAGAGACUCUGGAGGCUGAGGCUAGCCUCAGCAACUUAGUAAGACCCUGUCUCAAAAAAUGGGCAGGGAAUGUAGCUCAGCAGUAAAGAUUCCCUGGGUUCAGUCCUUAGUACUGCAAAACAAAACAAAAGCAGGUGGGACAGUGGGGACAACUUGGUAGGCACUCUGGCAUGUUUUUCUCUGGGGUACUCUUUGUACAUGAAGGCAGUAGGGCUAUAUGCUUUUUUGUAUUCCUCUUAAGUCCUUACAUGUAGGAGAUUUUAAAUACAAUUUUGCUGCUUGAUAAUGACUGCAGAUACCUCAUUUUGGUUUCCCACUUUCCCUCCUGGGAGAAGUACCAGGUACCCACAAGAGUUUCGAGAGCCCACCACAAGUUGUAAACUGUCCUGCCCUGCCACCCCUUCUCCCAAUCUGUUUCCAUAAAUCUCCCCUUGUUUCAGUCACUGUCUAUCCCAUCCCCUCUUCCUCAACCUCUGCCAGACUGUCCCUGUCCAUUCUUCAUACUGUAGCCAGGAUAGAUGUGUUGUUGGCAGCUUAGUUGAGAUAUAAUAUACAUAGCAUAUGAUUCACUCAUUUCCAUCCAUCAGCAUAAUAAAUUUUAGAACAUUUCAUCACCAAAAAAGAUAUCCUGUACUUAAUAGCAGUUAUUCCCCAGUUUUGUUUUUCCUAACCCCUAGCAGCUACUAAUCUUUCUGUCUUUAUGGAUUUGCCUGUUCUGGACAUUUUGUUUAAGUGGAGUCAUAUUCUCUUACUUAACAUAUUUUCAAGGUUCAUCCAUAUUAUACUGUAUCAGCACUUUAUUUUUUUAAAUUGAUAAAUGAUAUUUCAUUGGAGAUUCUACAUUUUACAUAUUCAUCAGUUAAUGGAUAUUUGGGUUGUUUCUACUUUUUGGCUAUUAUGAAUAGGUUUCUAUGAAAUACAGGUUUUUUCAUAGAAGUAAAUUUUCAUUAUUCUUGGAUUUUUACUUGGGAGUGGAAUUCCUUGUCUUAUGCUAACUUUCUUUCAUCUUUUGAGGAACUGCCAGGCUAUUUUCCCAAGUAGCUGUGUCAUUUUCCUUUCCUACCAACAAUAUCUAUGGGUCCCAGCUUGCCCACAUCUUUACCAACACUUCUUAUUUUCCAAUAUGAAAUGCUAUCUCGCUGGUUUUAAUUUGCAUUUUCCUAAUGACCAAUGAUAUUGGGCAAUUUUUCAUGUGCUUCAGGAUGAACUUUUUUUGAUGGGGGACAGUACUGGGGAUUGGAUCCAGUAAGGGUCUACCUCUGAGCUACAUUCCUGAUUCUGUUAUUCCUCUGCUUGAAAUCUUUCCAGAGUUUCACCAUUACCUUUAGAAUAAAUUCCAGUUCUUUGAUAGCUUAUAAAGCUCGUCAGGAUCUAGCCUCUGGCAUUAUCUCUUUCCUGUUCUCCCCAUUCUCCCCUGACUUUUGCUCACUAAUUCCCUGGAUUUACCUUGAUCUCACUAGCCUUCCACACUCUGCAGUGUGCCCCCCUGCCAGUAACAUGAUUCCCCCCAUUUUCUCUACCUCCUGCCUCAGCCUUACCUUCUUUAUUCCCCUUAUUCUUUUUUUUUUAAUUUUUUAAAAUUAUGGAUGGAUCUUUAUUUUAUUUAUUUAUAUGUGGUACUGAGGAUCAAAGCCAGUGCUUCACACAUGCUAGGCAAGUGCUCUACCACUGAGCCACAACCCCAGCCCUAUUCCCCUUGUUCUUGAGGUCUUAGGGGCUUUUGUAGGAGGUAACCCUUAAUUUCCAGAGCCAAGGUAUUGGGCUCUUUCCGUGUGUCCCACGGUGUUGUCACAAAGGAGUUAGUUGUAACUGACUCCAGGUUUAGGUAAUAAAGUCAGCACCUAAGCUAUGUACACCUGUAAUCUCAGCAAUUAAGUUUGAGAGUCUGAGGCAAAAGAGGAUCACAAGUCAACCUUAGCAGUUUAUUGAGACCCUGUCUUAAAAUAAAUAAAAGGGAUUGGGGAUGUAAUUUAGUGGUAAAGUGCCCCUAGGUUCAAUCCCCAGUACCAAAAAAAAAAAAAAAAAAAAAAAAAAAAUCAUCAGAGUCUUAGGAUCAUAAUUGGAAUAUAAUCAAAAUUCCAAGGCAAGUGCCACAUUGAAGACCACCAUCACAAGGUCUCUUGCAGUCAGUCUUGCAUGUAUGGGAACAGACCACUGUUGCUUUGGUUGCAUAACAGAUGAAGUAGUUGACCUGCAAUUAGGACCAUGUUAUGUAUACUCACUGAUAAUUAAGUGCUAGAAUCACACUAAGUGAGAAGGUCACUUUUGAGGAGCUUGAAACUUCGGCAGGCCACAGGGCCAGCAGAGUUGCAAACCUGGGAAGGAGAGAAAGAUGAAUGACCUAAGCCACUUGAAAUUUUCUUUCUCAUCUUUUUUUUAAACUUUACUCUUCAGAUAAAUACCUUUAUGUUAACUAAGUGAAAAGUUUAUGUAUAAUGCCAAAUCACUACUGCCCCAACCAGCAUUCUUAUACACUCGACUAUAAUUUCCUAUUCCUGGUUUGUCUGUUUUGUUAGACUGUAAGCUCUGUGAGAGCAGGGACCAUGUCAGGCUUGUUCAUCAGGGUUUCCAAGACAGGUGACAAGAAACAAUUCAUUCCAUCAUGCACCUAGCAGGUCUUCCAUAAAUAUUUAUGGAAUUUAUAAAUUCCUAGUUUUGGGAACAGCUGCAUCCUUUGAGACGCCAGGGACCUCUUAUAGGCUACUCAUUUUUCUGCCAUGGACAUGCAAUGUCUUAUUUUCCUAUUUUGUUUUCCAUUUAGCCUGUGAGCUCAUAACAGAAUACAUGUCUCCAUGUUGUUUUCUCUGAAUCCUAGCAUCAGGACAGCUCAGAGUAAGAACAAAAAGGAGAAAGUACUUUUUGUAAUCUUGAGAAUAGCACAUUUGCUUCAAGGAAGAUUGUUACUGCAUAAUUUGACCAACAGCAAACAUCUAUUUUUCUUACAUGUUUAUAAAAUAAAGUAAAUCUAAGAGAAAAAAAACCACUAAUACUUUCUUAAAUUUUAUUUUACCUCAAUGAAACUCUAUGAGCAUUUUAUAGAACUUUAGUGUUUCUGGGAGCAUUUAGGGAAAUGCUGCCUCAAAAGCCUGUUUUAAAUAGUCGUGAGGCAUUAAAGUGUAUUUUCCUGUACUGUAUAUAAAACUCAUAAGAUUAUGAGUGGUAUUUGAAGUACCAAACUCAUCUGUUGGAGUGAUUCCAGAGGCCCUCUCCAGGUGCCCAGAUUCUUAAGUAGUUAAGACUUUUAGGUACUUCAGACUGUUUGUCACCCUCAACCCUGGACCAGUAUAGGUUAGUGAGGGUAAGAGUCCCUUACUGUUGUCAGGAGAGAAGACAUGACUUUCCUGUUUCUCUCUUCCUGGGGUUGUAGAAGUGUUUGGUCCUAUGAUAUGUUCCCCAGAGGGCCUGUGAACAAUUGGCAGUACUUUUAGCUCAGGAGGAAUGUCUUUUGGGGAAAGUCAAAUAGGAUGGUGGCUGGAGCUGGGGCUAGGACCCUAGGGACUCAUUCUACCUCAUCGUUAACUGGGAAAAACCAAGGAAGUCCCUUCCUCUCUGGGCCUUAGUUGCCUUGUCUUUCAGGCAACUAGGAUGAUCUCCAAGUUUUCUUCUGGUGCUAAUGUGUAUUCUAGGACCCCUGCUGUACUUUCAAAGGAGCAUUGGGAAUUGCAAGUUAGACAGGAAGGAGGUGGGUUAAGCAAGAGAUGUGGUCCUGUGUCCCAGUGCACCCCUCCUAGCCUCUCAACUAUGAGAGGACAAGAGAAUCCUCUCACUUGCUCUCUCCACUUAGUCCUCCAACCCUUAGCAAAUGUGCACGUAUGUGUGUACACAUGCACAUACAAAUCCCACUCAAUCUUAUGAUUGGGUAAGUAGCCCAGUGUAUCAGUCUGUUUAGGCUGCCAUGAUAAUAUAUAUACUGGCUGGUUUAAACAACAGAUGCUUAUUUUCUCUUAGAUCUGGAGGUUGGGAAAGUGAGCUCAGGGUACCAGGGUGUUGAGGGCCUUCUUCCUAGUUUUCUGGCUCACGUGGCCUUUCCUUCGUAUAUGCAUGUGACCCUUAAAAUGCCACUGAUUCUAUUGGAUUUAGGACUGGGCUUCACUCUUUUGACCUCAUUUAACCUUAAUUACCUCCUUAAAGCCGUGUCUCCAAAUAAAGCUACAUUUGGGAUUAGAGCUUCAGCAUAUGAAUUUGGAAGGGGAUACUACUCAAUCUACAGUACCCAGUGAUAUA